rnacentral:rRNA from 1 species
GCAGAGAAUCCCCUCGUACCUUUUGCAUCAUGAUUCAGCCAGUAAGACACAUGCAAAGAGACCUCUAGUUUGUACCCCCGAAACCUGACGAGCUACUCCGAGACAGCCUAUCUAGGGCCAACCCGUCUCUGUGGCAAAAGAGUGGGAAGAUCUCCGAGUAGAAGCAAAAGACCUACCGAGCCAGGUUAUAGCUGGUUGCCCAAUAAAUGAAUAAAAGUUCAGCCCCGUUAAGCCCAAUUCACAACAGUUAUACACAAAAAGAUGAAGAGCUCUAAACGGGAGUUAAUCAGAAGAGGUACAGCUCUCCUGAUCAAGGACACAACCUUAUAAAGAAGAUUAAGGAAUAUAAUAAAAUAAGGCUACAGGCCUCAGUGGGCCUAAAAGCAGCCACCUGUUUAGAAAGCGUUAAAGCUCAGACCCAAACUAAGCCUAUUAUUUCAUUAAAUACUUCCAAAAUCCCUUUUUUAACUGGGCCUUUCUAUGCACCCAUAGAAGAGACUAUGCUGAAAUAAGUAACAAGAAAAUUGAACUUCUCCUCGCACAAGUGUAAAUCGAAUUGGACCUACCACCGGUAAUUAACGAACCCAAUAACAGAGGGCCACACACCACAUCGUCACCACCAGCCAAGAAAACCACGUCCCCAUAAAUCGUUACCCCCACACUGGAGUGCUUAACAAAGGAAAGACUAAAAGAAAAAAAAGGAACUCGGCAAACCUAAACCCCGCCUGUUUACCAAAAACAUCGCCUCUUGCUUUUCAAGAAUAAGAGG